GAUGAACGCUGGCGGCGUGCCUAAUACAUGCAAGUCGAGCGAACAGACGAGGAGCUUGCUCCUCUGACGUUAGCGGCGGACGGGUGAGUAACACGUGGAUAACCUACCUAUAAGACUGGGAUAACUUCGGGAAACCGGAGCUAAUACCGGAUAAUAUAUUGAACCGCAUGGUUCAAUAGUGAAAGACGGUUUUGCUGUCACUUAUAGAUGGAUCCGCGCCGCAUUAGCUAGUUGGUAAGGUAACGGCUUACCAAGGCAACGAUGCGUAGCCGACCUGAGAGGGUGAUCGGCCACACUGGAACUGAGACACGGUCCAGACUCCUACGGGAGGCAGCAGUAGGGAAUCUUCCGCAAUGGGCGAAAGCUUGACGGAGCAACGCCGCGUGAGUGAUGAAGGGCUUCGGAUCGUAAAACUCUGUUAUUAGGGAAGAACAAAUGUGUAAGUAACUAUGCACGUCUUGACGGUACCUAAUCAGAAAGCCACGGCUAACUACGUG
rnacentral:rRNA from 1 species